CCGCAUAACGUCGCAAGACCAAAGAGGGGGACCUUCGGGCCUCUUGCCAUCGGAUGUGCCCAGAUGGGAUUAGCUAGUAGGUGGGGUAACGGCUCACCUAGGCGACGAUCCCUAGCUGGUCUGAGAGGAUGACCAGCCACACUGGAACUGAGACACGGUCCAGACUCCUACGGGAGGCAGCAGUGGGGAAUAUUGCACAAUGGGCGCAAGCCUGAUGCAGCCAUGCCGCGUGUAUGAAGAAGGCCUUCGGGUUGUAAAGUACUUUCAGCGGGGAGGAAGGGAGUAAAGUUAAUACCUUUGCUCAUUGACGUUACCCGCAGAAGAAGCACCGGCUAACUCCGUGCCAGCAGCCGCGGUAAUACGGAGGGUGCAAGCGUUAAUCGGAAUUACUGGGCGUAAAGCGCACGCAGGCGGUUUGUUAAGUCAGAUGUGAAAUCCCCGGGCUCAACCUGGGAACUGCAUCUGAUACUGGCAAGCUUGAGUCUCGUAGAGGGGGGUAGAAUUCCAGGU
rnacentral:rRNA from 1 species